rnacentral:rRNA from 1 species
AUUGAACGCUGGCGGCAUGCCUUACACAUGCAAGUCGAACGGUAACAGGUCUUCGGAUGCUGACGAGUGGCGAACGGGUGAGUAAUACAUCGGAACGUGCCCGAUCGUGGGGGAUAACGGAGCGAAAGCUUUGCUAAUACCGCAUACGAUCUACGGAUGAAAGCAGGGGACCGCAAGGCCUUGCGCGGACGGAGCGGCCGAUGGCAGAUUAGGUAGUUGGUGGGAUAAAAGCUUACCAAGCCGACGAUCUGUAGCUGGUCUGAGAGGACGACCAGCCACACUGGGACUGAGACACGGCCCAGACUCCUACGGGAGGCAGCAGUGGGGAAUUUUGGACAAUGGGCGAAAGCCUGAUCCAGCCAUGCCGCGUGCAGGAUGAGGGCCUUCGGGUUGUAAACUGCUUUUGUACGGAACGAAAAGACUCUUUCUAAUAAAGAGGGUCCAUGACGGUACCGUAAGAAUAAGCACCGGCUAACUACGUG